GACGAACGCUGGCGGCGUGCCUAAUACAUGCAAGUAGAACGCUGAAGGAGGAGCUUGCUCUUCUGGAUGAGUUGCGAACGGGUGAGUAACGCGUAGGUAACCUGCCUGGUAGCGGGGGAUAACUAUUGGAAACGAUAGCUAAUACCGCAUAACAGUAGAUGUUGCAUGACAUUUACUUAAAAGGUGCAAUUGCAUCACUACCAGAUGGACCUGCGUUGUAUUAGCUAGUUGGUGGGGUAACGGCUCACCAAGGCGACGAUACAUAGCCGACCUGAGAGGGGGGUCGGCCACACUGGGACUGAGACACGGCCCAGACUCCUACGGGAGGCAGCAGUAGGGAAUCUUCGGCAAUGGACGGAAGUCUGACCGAGCAACGCCGCGUGAGUGAAGAAGGUUUUCGGAUCGUAAAGCUCUGUUGUAAGAGAAGAACGAGUGUGAGAGUGGAAAGUUCACACUGUGACGGUAUCUGACCAGAAAGGGACGGCUAACUACGUG
rnacentral:rRNA from 1 species